UAUUUGAAGUACUUUCUUAGUGAAAUCCUGAGUCUUUAAGUACUUUCAGCAACAAACGUUUUCCUCCAUUCCAGUAAAAUGUCGAAACCAAUUAAUUUCGUAUUCGCUCUUUUACUUUGUGCUUUAUCAGUGCGUUGUUCUGGACUUACCAGAAUUGGAGGCAGCAAAUACUACGUUUCAAGCGAUGAGCACACAUACGUAGAAGCCGACCUGGCCUGCCAGAUGGAGGAUAACAUGAAGUUGGCCGCAUUUUAAACCGAAGAAGAAUAUUUGCAGUUUAAUGAAACCAUGAACAAUUGGGGAAUCAGCAAUACCGAAAGCUAUUGGUUGGGUGGUUUAAGAC
rnacentral:lncRNA from 1 species